AUGCAAGGGGAAAACCACUCUGCACAGUGCCCCUGAGCAGGCUGUGCCUUGAAGGUGCCCAACGUGCCCGAAGGUGCCCGAUUAAAGGUGCCCUGAGGCAAAAAUCAACAAUCGGUGGGUGAUGCUAAGCAACCAUUAUAUUAGAAAUGUUUACAUUUUUUUGAACGGUGGUAGCGAGUCGAUUCCAACUGCAGGCAAAAUUGUGCUAGGAACUACGGAACAAGGACAAGAAGGAGAUGACCAAGCAGCUCGAGUAGCUCACCUGAGCUGCUAAAGUUGUUCGUGGCUGAGGCCACAGAGUGGUGCUUGCUGUCUAAAAUCAGCGUUGUCCGCAAGGCCAUCUCCCGGGUGUCCAUGAAAAAGGCAGAGGAGAACCAAGAACUGCGUGUCCCUGGAUAUACGUAACAAAAAGACGUACCCCGUGCGUAUGGCCCUGAGCAGCCAAAGCGCGCCAAGAUCCAAGAGCAUAAGCGCGGCGUCAAGGCUUAAACACGUCGGUCAAGUUUACUUUUUCCUUCAACAAAAAAUCGCUGGAAUCGUGAAAAUAUUGUCUGUGCGAGACAGCCGUUUAUCCGCCGAAAACAAGGACCGCAUCCUUAAGGACCGCGGCCUCGGUGCAGAGAACACGCCCUUCCGCUCUGAAUUUUGGAUUAGAGAGGGAUGCAAGAUGUUUUCCUUCGAAACAAGAUGAAAAUUUUAUAAAUGUAUUGUUUUGUAAACUCAGUGAAAUAAAAUCGUGAAUAAAAAUGUAUUUUUAGUUGGA